AACGCAUCUUGCGCUCCUUGGCAUUCCGAGGAGCAUGCCUGUUUGAGUGUCAUGGUAUUCUCAAUUCUCUUGGUUUUUGCUGAGAUGAUAUUGGACUUGGAGGCUAUUGCUGGCAUCGUUUCAGAAGCCAGCUCCUCUUAAAUGAAUCAGUGUGAACAUUCACUUCAUACUUGGUGUGAUAAUUAUCUGCACUGUGUCUGAGUGAUAGAGUUUCAUGCUUCGAAUCGUCGCGAGACAUUACUUUGACUUCUGACCUCAAAUCAGGUAGGAUUACCCGCUGAACUUAA
rnacentral:misc_RNA from 1 species